rnacentral:rRNA from 1 species
AUUGAACGCUGGCGGCAUGCCUUACACAUGCAAGUCGAACGGCAGCACGGGUGCUUGCACCUGGUGGCGAGUGGCGAACGGGUGAGUAGUACAUCGGAACGUACCUUAUCGUGGGGGAUAACGCAGCGAAAGCUGUGCUAAUACCGCAUACGCCCUGAGGGGGAAAGCGGGGGAUCGAAAGACCUCGCGCGAUUAGAGCGGCCGAUGCCUGAUUAGCUUGUUGGUGGGGUAAAAGCCCACCAAGGCGACGAUCAGUAGCUGGUCUGAGAGGACGAUCAGCCACACUGGGACUGAGACACGGCCCAGACUCCUACGGGAGGAAGCAGUGGGGAAUUUUGGACAAUGGGGGCAACCCUGAUCCAGCAAUGCCGCGUGAGGGAAGAAGGCCUUCGGGUUGUAAAGCUCUUUUGUCUGGGAAGAAACACCGGCUCUAACACAGUCCGGGAAUGACGGUACCUGAAGAAUAAGCACCGGCUAACUACGUGCCAGCCGCCGCCGUAA